GCACCCGCGGUAAUUCCAGCACCAAUAGCGUAUAUUAAUGCUGCUGCUGUUAAAAAGCUCGUAGUUGGAUCAAGAGUUGGACAGUGCACGGUGGCCCUGUUUGUUUGUCUGGCUCCGGUCAGGCAGACGGCAGCGGAACAACCCCGUGCGCCAAACUGUCCACUCUAACAGACCGAAACGGUUCUCUGUGAGUAGGCUCCUUAAUUGGGGCUGAAAGCGCCUACGCAUCAACCAUAUGCAUACGAGACGUCGGUCAAUGUUACUGUGAACAAACCAGCGUGUCCAAAGCAGGCUUUCGCCCGAAUGUUCGAGCAUGGAAUAACAAGGGAUCGAUUCUCUCGGUUCUUUUUGUUGGUUUUUAACCCGAGAAGGAGUAAUUCAGGCCACGGUGUCUGAGCUGGGUUUCCCUGGUCUUCGGAUCAGGCCCCAGUUAGGCCGUGUCCUUACGGGAUCAAUAGGGACUGACGGGGUCGUACCUACUUUCGCGUCAGAGGUGAAAUUAUUAGAUCGCGGGAAGAGGAACUUCUGCGAAAGCAUGCGACAAGAAUGUCUUCAUUAAUCAAGAACGAGAGUGUGGGGAUCGAAGAUGAUCAGAUACCGUCGUAGUCCACUACUGUAAACAAUGCCGUCUCAGGAUUGAGAAGUGAACAGAAUGACUUUCACAGCACUAACCCCUGAAACGAGAAAUCAAAGAUUAUGGGUCCAGGGGGGAGUACAUUCGCAAGGCUGAAACUUAAAGGAAUUGACGGAAUGACACCACAAGGCGUGGAGUAUGCGGCUUAAUUUGACUCAACACGAGGAAUUUUACUAGGUCAGGACAAUGUAAGGAUUGACAGAUUGAGAGCUCUUUCUCGAUCCAUUGUGUGGUGGUGCAUGGCCGCUCCUGGUUGGUGGAGUGAUUUGUCUGGUUGAUCCCGUUAACGAACGAGAUCUCGACCCUUAAAUAGGUGCGCAUGUCGAUUGUAGCUUCACCUCCGCCAGCUUGCUGGAUUGGAGUGGGGCGAGACUGUGCGAAUACUUCUUAAGGGGACUGUGUGCGUCUCUAGCACGCGGAAGAGCGAGCCAAUAGCAGGUCUGUGAUGCUCCUAAAUGUCCUAGGCUGCACGCGCACUACACUGAUGCAAUAAACGAGUCUGAGUACCUUCUGGUAACCUACCUGGAAGCGGAUGGGAAAUCUUUUGAACAUGCAUCGUGAUGAG
rnacentral:rRNA from 1 species